UAAGGACAAGAAGACCCUAAGAAUUUAAAAAAUUUCUAUAAAAUGCUGCAUUUUAUUGAAAUUUUUUAAUUGGGGCGAUUAUUAAAUAUUAAAAACUUUAAUUUUUUAAAAAAGAACCAAUAAUAUUGGUUACUUGAAAAAAUACUCUAGGGAUAACAGCGUAAUAAUUUUUGAUAGUUCUUAUAGACAAAAUAGUUUGCGACCUCGAUGUUGGAUUAGGAUUCUUUUUUAAUGGAGAAGUUAAAAAAAGAAGUUUGUUCAACUUUUAAAAUCCUACUUGAUCUGAGUUCAGACCGG
rnacentral:rRNA from 1 species